AGCAUGAGGCCAAAGUACAUAAGAAAGUGGCAGUCUUUUAUUGCAAAUAUGCACACACUCUCGGGCGAAGUUCUCUGGUCCUCAGGUGUGCGGGGCCAGGGAAGUCGCGCCGGCGCUCUCGGGUCAUGUUCUCCGGCCCACAAAUGCGAGGGUCGAAGAAGUCACACUGGCUCCUGCCGGCAGCAGACUUUUAUGCAUUGGUACUGGAAGGGGGAGGGCAGUGGGCGGGAUAAGGGCGUGAUAGGCGUCUCCGUAGGCGUGGCCGGGUAAGUUUCAAUCUCUUCGAAUUGACAUCACCUGGCGCAUGCUCAGCUGAUCUGCAUCUUCCGGGGGCGGGCUGCAUUUUCCCGCGCGCGGGAAAGUUGGUGAGGAAGAACCCGGAAGCAACAUGGAUUAUGCCUUCUUGUUCACCUUCCUCCAUCUUGUCCCUUCUCCCUCACCCAAACAGUAGUGUCCUCCUAAGAGAGACCCUCAGGUCACCCCUUCCGAUAUAUGAGGACACAGUGAGCAGAUGCCAUCUGUGAGCCAGAAGUGGGUCCUUAGGAGACACAGAAACUACUGGCAUUUUGACCUUGGACUUCCAGCCUCCAGAAUGGUUGACAACACUGUUGGGACAUCAGCUUUGAAAGAGACCUGAGAAAUCAUAGGCUUCGGUGGCUUUCCUUUCAUGCUGGGCAUCAAAUUUUCCAAAUUUUCCUAGUGGAGGCUUCUGCACCAGAGUCAGGAUUUCUGCAGAGCUCACAGGGUGAACAUGUUCUUAAGGUAAAUGUGAAUUAAGCAAAUGCACAGACACAUGAACAAACAACUUUUACUGUCAGAGUCAUUCCAAUUUGCAGAAUCACUGGGCUUGAAAUGACUUCCCUACUCCCUGUGUUCAGGUGGAGGGGAGCCACCAACAGCUGAGAAAGGAGGCAGGAAUAAUCUAAUUUCUGAACAACUGACCUUUGUCCAAAAAUGAGCACUGACUGGCAACCUUGGUUUACAGUUGUGCUUUCCACCUCACACUACCCAGAGGGGGAGAAUGGCAAAGCCCAGAAAACCAGCCAACCGGCAGCCACUCAUCAGAAUCCCUGCAGUCACUCAAGAAUCUGUGGGUUAGAUAGAGCAUAAUUUCCAGGAGGGAUUAUUUCACUCUCCUGUUUGAGCAUACAGUUGGAAUGAGGGGCCUUUGCUCUCUCUUUCCAGGAAAUUUCCCCUGCAGCAGUUUUUCUGCUCUUGCUUCAUUCAGCAGACAUCACUGAGAACACGUUCAGUGGGGAAAGGAUUGUGCCUCUGUGACUCUGUGAAAUAUAUAUUUGGGCUUCAUCUGUUUCCUGGAACAUGGCUCAUAAAACACUUGGAAUCUCCAAAGUGAUAAGAGUCUUUUGUACGUCAGUGAAAUGACUGCUGGUUGGGGGCCCCUGAAUAGCCUCAGGAUGGGGCUGGUUCCCAGGGGAACCAAACAUGUGGUCAGAGGGUUGGAACUUUCAGCUCCAAUGGGACCUCCUGGGAGGGGAAAGGGGCUGAAGAUUGAGUUGACCACCAAUGGCCGAUGAUGUCAUCAGUCAUGCCUACAUAAUAAAGCCUCCAUGAAACCCCAACAGAACAGAGUUUGGGGAGUUUCUGGCUAGCUGAACACGUGGAGAUUCCUGGAGGAUGGUGUUCCCGGAGAGGGCAUGGAAGUUCCGUACCCCUUCUCUCAUAUGCAUCUCCCUAAGCAUCUCUUCAUCCUCAGACAUCCUUGCAUAAUCUGUAUCCUUUUUCCUAUAUUUUAUAAUAAAUGGAUAGAUGUAA